rnacentral:rRNA from 1 species
UACGGAGGGUGCGAGCGUUGUCCGGAAUCACUGGGCGUAAAGGGCGCGUAGGCGGUCUGGUAAGUAGGGGGUGAAAUCUUGCGGCUUAACCGCAAGGCUGCCUUCUGAACUGUCAGACUCGAGCACAGUAGAGGCAGGUGGAAUUCCCGGUGUAGCGGUGGAAUGCGUAGAGAUCGGGAAGAACAUCGGUGGCGAAGGCGGCCUGCUGGGCUGUUGCUGACGCUGAGGCGCGACAGCGUGGGGAGCAAACAGG